GACGAACGCUGGCGGCGUGCCUAAUACAUGCAAGUAGAACGCUGAAGGCGGAGCUUGCUCUUCUGGAUGAGUUGCGAACGGGUGAGUAACGCGUAGGUAACCUGCCUGUUAGCGGGGGAUAACUAUUGGAAACGAUAGCUAAUACCGCAUAAAAUUGAUUAUUUCAUGAUAGUCAAUUAAAAGGUUCACUUGCAUCACUACCAGAUGGACCUGCGUUGUAUUAGCUAGUUGUUGAGGUAACGGCUCACCAAGGCAACGAUACAUAGCCGACCUGAGAGGGUGAUAGGCAACACUGGGACGGAGACACGGCCCAGAAUCCUACGGGAGGCAGAAGUAGGGAAUAUUGGGGAAUGGACGGAAGUCUGAACGAGCAACGCCGCGUGAGUGAAGAAGGUUGUCGGAUCGUAAAGCUCUGUUGUAAGAGAAGAACGAGUGUGAGAGUGGAAAGUGCACACUGUGACGGUAUCUGACCAGAAAGGGACGGCUAACUACGUG
rnacentral:rRNA from 1 species